CCCUGGUUAGCUCAGUUGGGUAGAGCGCUCCACUGGAAAUGGAGAGGUCCCGGGUUUGAUACCCGGACCAGGCG
rnacentral:tRNA from 1 species